rnacentral:rRNA from 1 species
UUGAACGCUAGCGGGAUGCCUUACACAUGCAAGUCGAACGGCAGCGGGAAGAAAGCUUGCUUUCUUUGCCGGCGAGUGGCGAACGGGUGAGUAAUGUAUCGGAACGUGCCCAGUAGCGGGGGAUAACUGGCCGAAAGGUCAGCUAAUACCGCAUACGCCCUACGGGGGAAAGGGGGGGAUUCUUCGGAACCUCUCACUAUUGGAGCGGCCGAUAUCGGAUUAGCUAGUUGGUGGGGUAAUGGCCUACCAAGGCGACGAUCCGUAGCUGGUUUGAGAGGACGACCAGCCACACUGGGACUGAGACACGGCCCAGACUCCUACGGGAGGCAGCAGUGGGGAAUUUUGGACAAUGGGGGAAACCCUGAUCCAGCCAUCCCGCGUGUGCGAUGAAGGCCUUCGGGUUGUAAAGCACUUUUGUCAGGGAAGAAAAGGUUCUGGCUAAUACCCGGAACUGAUGACGGUACCUGAAGAAUAAGCACCGGCUAACUACGUGCCAGCAGCCGCGGUAAUACGUAGGGUGCAAGCGUUAAUCGGAAUUACUGGGCGUAAAGCGUGCGCAGGCGGUUCGGAAAGAAGGAUGUGAAAUCCCAGGGCUCAACCUUGGAACUGCAUUCUUAACUACCGAACUAGAGUAUGUCAGAGGGGGGUAGAAUUCCGCGUGUAGCAGUGAAAUGCGUAGAUAUGCGGAGGAAUACCGAUGGCGAAGGCAGCCCCCU